rnacentral:rRNA from 1 species
CCUACGGGUGGCAGCAGUGGGGGAUAUUGGACAAUGGGGGAAACCCUGAUCCAGCGACGCCGCGUGAGUGAAGAAGUAUUUCGGUAUGUAAAGCUCUAUCAGCAGGGAAGAAAGAAAUGACGGUACCUGAGAAAGAAGCCCCGGCUAACUACGUGCCAGCAACCGCGGUAAUACGUAGGGGGCAAGCGUUAUCCGGAAUUACUGGGUGUAAAGGGAGCAAAGACGGUAAUGCAAGUCUAGAGUGAAAGGCGGGGGCUCACCGCCCGGACUGCUCUGGAAACUGUGGAACUGGAGUGCAGGAGAGGCAGGCGGAAUUCCUAGUGUAGCGGUGAAAUGCGUAGAUAUUAGGAGGAACACCAGUGGCGAAGGCGACCUGCUGGACUGUAACUGACGUUGAGGCUCGAAAGCGUGGGGAGCAAACAGGAUUAGAUACCCCAGUAGUC